GGUUGAGUGGCGCAAUGGUAGCGCGUUGCUUUCCGGUUCAGUCGCCAGGAAGUUGGCAAAGGUUCUGGGUUCGAGUCCCAGCUUGAUCG
rnacentral:tRNA from 1 species